GAACAUUUCCUUGCUUGUACAAUGACUGUGCCUUGUGGCAUCACAACCAUGACUUUCUGGCUAUGUACCCAGAGGCCUUAGGGUAAUGCUCACGACUGAGCAUUUCCUGUGCCCAGGCACUCUUUGAAGGUCUUUGUGGGCCAUAUGCAUUGGCAAACCUUGCAGGACGAGCCACCAAACAACAGGUCAUGUAGGCGAAAACUGGAGCCCACAUCCAGCUUCUUCAGCUACUCUUUGCC
rnacentral:lncRNA from 1 species